UCUGAGGAGAGGGAGGUUCCUCUGCUAAAGUUGUCAGGAUUUGGCCAGGGUUGUUCCGAUUUUGGUCACUAGAUGCCCCCAUUGUGCUUUAUGACCCUUUUGUUUUCCGUUGUUCCCAGUAAAACAUCCGUACCUAUAACGACUUUGUGGAUUACCUGAGUGACCCCUCCAAGCGGAAUGACAUUGAGAGGGAGCUGGCUGAGGCAAAGAUGUCCUCUUUGAGCUGGUGCUGUUUGGGAUGAUGACAGCUCAGAAGUCCCUGAUGGUGCACCCUGGUGGGUUCGUGGAGCGUCUGUACGCUCUCCUGUACUCCUUCCUGCCGACAUGGAGCCAGAGGCUGACAGAUACCUGCUGCUGCUCAAUGGCGGGCUGAUGGCUCUGCUAGAUGACAUGUUUGACCAGCAGCAGAGUCUCUGGUCACUAAGCUCUCCAGCCUCCUGGAGUACCACUUGGAGAACCUCAUGGAUUCUUGUGACACUUUGCCACCCAACAGGGAUCUAGACACCAAUGCACUACAUUACUUUGCACUGAAUUUGACAUUUUUAAAUAAAUUGAGUUGUAGUUCGGAAACAAAUGUUUUUGAACUACAUCUUUUCUUCUA